AUGAUCCAUUUCAAACCUAGUGCUAUCACUAACACUUUUGUUAAUUAUUUUCGUUAUAUUUUCUCAUCUCCCGAUAAUAAUGCUGAUAGGCCUUAUCUUGAUACACAUUGGCCUAGUGACUCUCUGGAUCCUACCUAUGCUCUUCCUGAUAAACAUGAGGUUUUACAGAUUCUCAAAGAAAUGAAAUUGAAUGCUUCUCCAGGGCCAGAUGGGUUUAAUGUUGAAUUUUAUUUGGCGGCCUGGGACUGGAUAGGAGAUGAAGUCACUCAACUUGUCAUUAACUUUUACACUACUGGUAUUUUGCCUCCACAUAUUAAUGACACUAACAUUGCUCUUAUUCCGAAAAAGCCUGUGCCUCAAGUUCCCAUGGACAAUCGCCCUAUUAGCCUUUGUAAUGUUGUUUACAAAAUCAUUGCGAAGUCGCUUGCUAAUAGGAUCAAGCCUCAUCUUCCUGAUUAUAUCGAUCCUGCUCAACAAGCUUUCAUUGAGGGUAGAUGUAUUAGUGAUAACAUCAUUAUUGCCCAGGAUAUUGCCCACUCUUUCUCUCUUAAAUCUUGGAAACAUAGUGCUUUCAUGCUUAAGAUAGAUCUAGCCAAAGCUUUUGAUCAUCUAGAAUGGAAUUUUAUUGUGUCUGCUCUUGCUCGUAAAGGGCUGCAUGGUCACUUCAUUAAUUUAAUUCAUGCAUGUGUUUCUUCUCCUACGUUCUCUGUGCUGAUUAAUGGACAACCCUCUCACAAGUUUAGGAGCUUUCGAGGUAUUCGUCAGGGCUGUCCGAUGUCUCCUUUUUUGUUUGUUAUUGCCAUCAAUAAAUUAUCUAUUGCUCUCAACGAAGCUCUUGCUGCUCAUCAUUUGCAGGGUAUUCCGCUUGGACCAAAUUGCCCUUCUAUCCACUCUUUGUUAUUUGCAGAUGACUUGUUGGUUUGUGGGCAAGCCAGUCUUCAAGAAGCUCGUACUAUGGCUCAUCGUAUUAAUCAUUUUUGUUCUAUCUCAGGUCAAACUCCAAAUUGGGCCAAAUCAGCCAUUCUUUUCAGUUCUCAUGUUCAUCAAGCUAUGAUGCAGGAUAUUAAGCAGAUUUUCCCUGUUUCUAAUCUGGAUAGCAAUUUCACUCAUCUUGGUCAUCCACUUGUUCUUCCUGCAAAAAGAAGAGCUGCUGCAUAUAACUUUGUUCUAGACAAAUUUCUGAAUAAGUUGCCCAUUUAUAAAGCUAACAUGCUUUCUCAUGCUGCCAGACUUGAAUUGAUUCGCUCGGUUUUCUCGGCUAUCCCUGUCUAUUACAUGGCUAAUAUCUUGUUUAUGAAGAAAUUCAUUGCUAAGCUUACUGCUGUUAUUAGGAAUUUUUGGUGGACAGGUGUUCGAGAAAAUGACUCAAAAAAGAGUCUUUGCCUUGGAGCAUGGAAGGACAUUUCAAUUCAAAAGAUGAAGGUGGUUUAG
rnacentral:rRNA from 1 species